UUAUGUUUUACUAAAAUUUGUUGUUCUUGUGAUGUUUAUUUUGAAAAACAGUUCAACUGGAUGCUGGUGUGUAGAUCCCAUGGUGGGUUUGCAGCCUGCACAUACGUCUAGAGGUGUAAUUAAUGGCAGCAGGAGACGACAACUAUAAGAGCUGCAAGUGUUCUGCAGGGGUAGUUGCACCUUAGAUCUAAAAUACUUGCAUAAUGCUUUAAAAUUUCAGUUUGAGGGUUGAGAAGUACUAGACCUGACUGCAGGUAACUUGAAUUAGGUGUGGCAAUUUGUCCUGUUUUCUAUGUUCUUUCAUUUGGAUCCUGCAGUUGUUGAGCUGCAGUAUAAGAAAUAUGAAAAGUAUUGUUGCUUAUAUUCUGUACCAUUAACCAAAUAUGGAGAUUUUUUGCUUGUUUUGCAGAUGGUAUCCUGUACAGUUUACUCAUAAUUGUUUGAACUUUCAGUUUCUUGGCUAUUGAGCUUCUGGUCACUGAUGCAGAAAAAUGGAGACCUCUCCUCAGUGACUCAUGAAUUGGCUGUGGAAUGUGCCCUAUAGAGAAGGAAGAAAGUAAUAAAGAGAGUUUUCCUCCAGGUGUAUUUAUUAACAGUCAGGCCACUAUGGAAACACAUUGCAGAGAUUCCUCUCUUUGCCCAAAGAAGAUGAGGAUAUUGAUUAUAGGAUUCCUUACCAUCUUCCAUAUGCUCACAAACAGAACUGCUGGUGCUUUCCUGGCUUCAUCUCUAUCUGUAGAUCACCAGUGUGUUUUUCUCGUGUCAUCAUGGCCAUAAUUUCUUUCUGCUGCAGCCCAAAGGAUCCCAUCAGAGCCUGCCCUUGAGUCUUUCUGCCUCCCUAUCCUGGAAGUAUGGAGUCCCUGCCUCAGCCUACGGCUUCAUUCUUUUUCCAGCUGCCCACAAAAGUAAAGAACCAGUGUGAGAGUUUGAAGAAAGAAUCCGCUCAGAGGACUGAGUCUCAAGCAAAAGCUCCAGGUUGCAGACUCAGAAAGAAACUUCCUUUGGGGAAGGAUCUGCUUCCAGGAUUUGCUCGUCUCUUUUUCCUUGGGCAAACAGUUCUUGAAGCAAACAACAGGGUUGCAGGACACCUUCUAACCUUUAUACUGCAUCACAAGCCUUCAGCAGAAGAUCUUAUGUUGCUGGAAGAUGACUGGGUUUGGAUCUUGGCCUUCCCUAAGCAGGAUCUCCUGGCAAAAAAAAUGGGAUUGGGAAAGAAAUGGCUCCUUUUUCCAUCACACAGAACCACCCUAGAAAUGGAGGCCUAGGCAGAAAAGUACUUGUAAUGCAUUGUUCUUUAGGAAAUGUGUUUGGCCUCCCACGGUCCUUUUGUUACAAUGUCAUAUAGAUAUCCUUUAUUAAAUCUAAACCUGGCAUCUUCCUAUCUGAAGAUCAAGUCAAUAAAUCCAAGAUUAAGAGUUUACAGGUCUAAUAAUGUGGUUGGGUCUUGCUGUCCCUUGCAUAGGAGAGAUGCCAUGUGAAUCUGUGAAACAGGGUUCUGCUGUGGUUCAGACUGUUAUAUUUGUAAAGCCUUUUCCACUUAUAUUAAAAUUAUUAGAAACAAUAUUAAUAAAGGUUCUUGUGAAAAUGGUAUUUAGACUUCUACCUUGCUGGAUUUACUUAAAAAUAAAUUUGAGCCAAAAUGUCACAAUGGAUAAUAUGGGAAGUAGUGUACCUUUUGAGGUUUCCUGUGGCUUUGUGUCACAAAGAAGUGUGUUGGAACUGUUGAGAGCUAUAAAAAUGGAAAUCUUAGAUUUUUCUUUAAGAGUGAGGAGUUGUUUGUUAGAAAGCAGAAAGCUUUUAAUCGUUCCCCCUAAGGGAUUCUGUAGUCAAACUUAAUUGAAUGUCUAGCAAGAUCUCAAAUAAAAACCUUCUGUUUGGCAGUAGCGAACAGCACACACAUGCCUGUGCACUUGUGUUGUUCUCACUAUAGGAAAUUAGUUUUGAAGAAUAGGACUUAGUUCUAAUGUUCAGAUUAGGAAAGGGGAAGGUUUUGUUCUGAAGCUGAGUGUGAGAAUAGGAGGCAGGAAGGUGUACCAGACUGGCAGUAGGUGAAGAGCACUUUCAUUUUUCUGUUUUCUACUUCUGGCAGUUGAAGUAAACUAGCCAGAUGCUUAUACUUGAAUCCAAUUAAUUUCUUUAAUAAGUUGCCACAAAACAUUGUUUUUUAACUGAUACUUAGAUUUUUUGUUAAAUUCACCAGCUUAUUAAAUUACUCAAUAGUCUUAACAUAGCCCUGAGGCUACUGCUUCAUGGCAGUUGUCACUUACUAUUCUGGAAUGCACUGCAGUCCUAGUACAUUCUAAAAAUAAUUGUUCAGAUGGUGCUGUUUAAGUACAUACUUAUGUAGUGAGCCAUUUUCACUGGACUUUCUGAAAUUGACUUUCUGUUGGAUGGCUUUUUAAUAUCUUAUUUUGCUGUGAUUAUCAAACUUGUUUGUCUUGAUGCUUCUGUGGUUAUUGAGUAAAGUGCUGAAUUUAUAACCUAGUAUUUUUAGAGAUCUGAUAGUCAUGUGCCUGUGUUAAACUAUGCAAGCACAGUAACAUUUGUUAACUUUGAAGUUUAAAAAUAAAUCAGUUUGUAUCAAAUUCAGUCCUAUUAUAAUAUGUGGAAAUAUGUAUGUGGUGAACUUAAAGUUGAGUAGUUGUUACAGAUAUAGACAUGAAUUGUGUACUGAACAGAAGUAAUCUAGACCUUAACAGCUGAAGAUCUGUGGGUCUCAGAAAUUAAUUCUAACAUCUGUGACUAGAGUUUUGUGCCAGCAGUGCUUUUAGUUGAAAACACCUGGUUUUCAAAUUUCUAGUCCAUUUAAGGUCUGAUAUCCUUUGUGCCGUAAUAGGUAUACUUACACUUGCCUCAGCCACAGUUUUUGGUCAUUUUGUUCUGUAGUAGGUAAAUUUAGGACUGUCAAAUACUUUUGAAACAGGCACUGAGAACUGUUUAUGUUACUGUCUCAAGUUCUUAAAAUGGCUUUACUCCUCCCUAUCACAAUUAGGAAACCAAACCACCGAAACAAAAGCAAAAACCAAACUAAAAACCUGUUACAGUUCGACAGUUGUUAUUUUGAUAUUUGUCUACCUCCGUAGUGUUAGCAUGUUUCUGUCAUGCUCUGAGUUUUACAGUUGGACUCCUGGGUUCUUGAUACAUCCUUAGAACAAUAACUCAUGCCUUUGUGUUACUAAAUAAUAAAAAUACCUGAAAAAAAAUUAUUCUUGUUUAUAUUGUACUUGCCAUGAGUGUAUGUAUUGAGUGUAUUCUGACAAACUAUGGAAUGCCAGGAAAUGUG